UACGAACUGUGCAAACGUUAUUCGGAAUCACUGGGCUUAAAGGGUGCGUAGGCGGCUAGAUAAGUCAGGUGUGAAAUCUCUCGGCUCAACCGGGAAAUGGCGCUUGAAACUAUCUGGCUUGAGUGAGAUAGGGGUGUGCGGAACUUCCGGUGGAGCGGUGAAAUGUGUUGAUAUCGGAAGGAACGCCGGUGGCGAAAGCGGCACACUGGGUCUCAACUGACGCUGAGGCACGAAAGCCAGGGUAGCGAACGGG
rnacentral:misc_RNA from 1 species